GGGAGGACUAACCGGAGAGGCGGCUGAGGAGGAGGGUGUGCUGUGUGCGUACACCGGCAAAGAAGGCUGGAGCGUGGGCAAGGUUUGAAAAUAAGACAAACAAAAUGGCACUGGGAGGAGAGGUGGAAGGAUGGCAACCUGGAUGGAUGAGAUGGGAUAGGAUGGAAGAGAAUGGGAGACGGAAAGGAGAGCCCUGGUUGAAGCUCUUCACCUCCGGCUAAGGACUGAGGAGGAGGCUGUCCUGUGACGGUUUGUUAUGGUAACCUCUUCACUUUGAGUACUAUGACGACUCCCACACACAGCUAAGAGCCAGGGGCAGCAUGGUCAAACAGCCGUCGACAACGAGUCUACUGUAGCAUCAUCAACAACACAGAAGGAUGCUUUUGGAUUGCAUGUAGGAUUAAAGACAGUUAACAACACGAGACAGAAGACCGUUUAUAAAAAGCUUGAACCCUACCUCCCAGCGGUCUAAGGCUACAGACCCAGGUUCGAUCCCGAGCUGUAUCACAACCGGGAGUGAUCUGGAGUCCCAUAGGGGCGGCGCACAAU